UACAGAGGGUGCAAGCGUUAAUCGGAAUUACUGGGCGUAAAGCGUGCGUAGACGGUAGCGUAAGUCAGAUGUGAAAGCCCCGGGCUCAACCUGGGAACUGCAUUUGAGACUGCUCUGCUCGGGUGCGGAAGAGGGAAGCGGAAUUUCCGGUGUAGCGGUGAAAUGCGUAGAUAUCGGAAGGAACACCAGUGGCGAAAGCGGCUUCCUGGUCCGACACCGACGUUCAAGCACGAAAGCGUGGGGAGCAAACAGG
rnacentral:rRNA from 1 species